UGGCGGCGUGCCUAACACAUGCAAGUCGAACGCGAGAGGGGCUUCGGCCCCAAUUGAGUGGCGAACGGGUGAGUAACACGUGGGUGACCUACCUUCGAGUGGGGGAUAACGUCCCGAAAGGGACGCUAAUACCGCAUGACAUCCUGUUCUUUAACGGACGGAGAUCAAAGCCGGGGAUCGCAAGACCUGGCGCUUGAAGAGGGGCCCGCGUCCGAUUAGCUAGUUGGUGGGGUAAUGGCUCACCAAGGCAACGAUCGGUAGCCGGCCUGAGAGGGUGGACGGCCACACUGGGACUGAGACACGGCCCAGACUCCUACGGGAGGCAGCAGUAGGGAAUUGUUCGCAAUGGGCGCAAGCCUGACGACGCAACGCCGCGUGGAGGAUGAAGACCUUCGGGUCGUAAACUCCUUUCGAUCGAGACGAAUGGCCUCCGGGUGAACAAUCCGGAGGAAUGACGGUACCGAGAGAAGAAGCCCCGGCUAACUCCGUGCCAGCAGCCGCGGUAAUACGGGGGGGGCAAGCGUUGUUCGGAAUUACUGGGCGUAAAGGGCUCGUAGGCUGCCAACUAAGUCAGACGUGAAAUCCCUCGGCUUAACCGGGGAACUGCGUCUGAUACUGGAUGGCUUGAGAUUGGGAGAGGGAUGCGGAAUUCCAGGUGUAGCGGUGAAAUGCGUAGAUAUCUGGAGGAACACCGGUGGCGAAGGCGGCAUCCUGGACCAACACUGACGCUGAGGAGCGAAAGCCA
rnacentral:rRNA from 1 species